AAGAAUUUAGUUAAUAAAUAACGUUAGAUUGUCAGACUAAAAUAAACUAAAGGUUAAUUCUUA
rnacentral:tRNA from 1 species